GACGAACGCUGGCGGCGUGCCUAAUACAUGCAAGUCGAACGCUGAAGAGAGGAGCUUGCUCUUCUUGGAUGAGUUGCGAACGGGUGAGUAACGCGUAGGUAACCUGCCUUGUAGCGGGGGAUAACUAUUGGAAACGAUAGCUAAUACCGCAUAACAAUGGAUGACACAUGUCAUUUAUUUGAAAGGGGCAAUUGCUCCACUACAAGAUGGACCUGCGUUGUAUUAGCUAGUAGGUGAGGUAAUGGCUCACCUAGGCGACGAUACAUAGCCGGCCUGAGAGGGUGAUCGGCCACACUGGGACUGAGACACGGCCCAGACUCCUACGGGAGGCAGCAGUAGGGAAUCUUCGGCAAUGGGGGCAACCCUGACCGAGCAACGCCGCGUGAGUGAAGAAGGUUUUCGGAUCGUAAAGCUCUGUUGUAAGUCAAGAACGGGUGUGAGAGUGGAAAGUUCACACUGUGACGGUAGCUUACCAGAAAGGGACGGCUAACUACGUG
rnacentral:rRNA from 1 species